rnacentral:rRNA from 1 species
GUUUAUCCUGCUGGAGGUUGCAGCUAUUUGGUUUGGAUUUAGGCAUGCAAGUCCGUUGAAAGACGGCGAACUGCUCAGUAACACGUAGUUAAUCUGACCUUAGGUUACGGAUACCCUCGGGAAACUGAGGUUAAACCGUAAUAGGAGACUUUCUUGGAAUAGAUUUUCUCUGAAACUUGCGCCUAAGGAUGAGACUGCGGCUGAUUAGGUUGUUGGCGGGGUAAUGGCCCACCAAGCCGAUGAUCAGUAAGGGCUCUUAGCGGAGUGGCCCUGAGAAGGAAUCUGAGACACUAUUCCUAGCCCUACGGGGUGCAGCAGCUGCGAAUUUUUUGCAAUGCACGAAAGUGUGACAAAGCGAACCAAAGUGCUUUACAAUGUAAAGCUUUUCUUUACUGUAAAAAGGUAGAGGAAUAAGGACUGGGUAAGACAGGUGCCAGCCGCCGCGGUAAUGCCUGCGGUCCAAGUUGCAACCACAUUUAUUGGGUCUAAAACAUCCGUAGCUUGUUUAUUAAGUUUCUUGUGAAAUCUUAUAGCUUAAAUAUAAGGCGUGCAAGAAAUACUGAUAAGCUAGAGACCGGGAGAUGUAAGAAGUACGUUUAAGGUAAUGGUAAAAUAUGUUAAUCUUAAGCGGACUCACAAUUAGCGAAGGCAUCUUACAAGAACGGUUCUGACAGUGAGGGAUGAAGGCCAGGGGCGCAAAACGGAUUAGAUACCCGUGUAGUCCUGGCAGUAAACACUGCUCACUAAACAUCGGUCUCUCUUCGGGAGAAAUCGGUGCUGAAGCGAAGGCGUAGAGUGAGCUACCUGGGAAGUAUAGUCGCAAGGUCGAAACUUAAAGGAAUUGGCGGGGAGACACUACAACGAGUGACGCGUGCGGUUCAAUUAGAUUCUACACCGUGAACCUCACCAGGAGCGACAGCAGGAUGAAGGUCAGUCUGAAGGGCUUACCUGACACGCUGAGCGGAGAUGCAUGGCCGACGUCAGCCUGUGCUGUGAAGUGACCUGUUAAAUCAGGUAAUAGGCGAGACCCUUGUGCAUAAUUACUCUCGAGAGAUGUACAUUAUGCAGACUGCCUUGGUAACAAGGAGGAAGGUAGGGGCUACGUUAGGUGAGUACAUCCCUAAUCCCCUGGGCUACACGCGCGCGGCAAUGGUAGAUUCAAUAGGCUGCGACUCUGAAAAGAGAAGCUAAUCCUCUAACAUCUAUCUCAGUACAGAUUGAGGUUUGCAACCCAACCUCAUGACGAUGGAAUUCGUAGUAAUCGGAUAUUAGCAGUGUCCGGUGAAUAUGUCCCUGUCUCUUGCACACACCGCCCGUCAAACCAACCGAGUUAUGUGGAGUUGAAACUCGUAUGAGGAGAAAUUUUGCAUGACAAGGUAGGUUAAGUCGUCACAAGGU